rnacentral:lncRNA from 1 species
CUCCCAAACUGCUGGGGUUACCAGCAUGAGCCACUGCACCCGGCCCUCACUGCGGCCUUUAACUCCAGGGAUCAAGUGAUCCUCCUACUCCAGCCUCCUGAGGAGCUGGGACUACAGGAGAGGAGACUAAUCCGAAGCUCAGAAAGGCUCAGUGCAUUCCCAAGGUCGUUCAGCCAGGAGAGCGCUGAAGGGAUCUGAGCUGAGAGCAAGUCUCAAACUCAGAGAAUGGAGGAGCUGCCCCGGAAGUGGCUGCUCGAGGCUGCAGUGAACUAUGAUCCUGCGGCCAAUCGCGGUGGCUCACGCCUGUAAUCCCAGCCUUCUGGGAGGCCGAGGCGGGCGGAUCGCUUGAGGUCAGAAGUUCGACACUAGCUUGGCCAACAUGGUAAAACACCGUCUCUACAAAAAAAUGCAAAAAUUAGUUGGGUGUGGUGGCGCGCGCCUGUGGUCCCAGCUACUCAGGAGGCUGAGGUGGGAGGAACGCUUGAGCGGGGGAGGCGGAAGUUACAGUGAGUCGAGAUCGCCCCACUGCACUCCAGCCUGGACAACAGAAUGAGACCCUGUCUAAAAAUAAAAUACAUGAGCCGAGUGCGGUGGCGCGCGCCUGUGAUCUCACAUACUCGGCAGGCUGAGGUUGGGAGAACCGCCUGAACCUG